CAGUUCGGAUCGCAGGCUGCAACCCGCCUGCGUGAAGUUGGAAUCGCUAGUAAUCGCGGAUCAGCAUGCCGCGGUGAAUACGUUCCCGGGCCUUGUACACACCGCCCGUCACACCAUGAGAGUCGGGAACACCCGAAGUCCGUAGCCUAACAGCAAUGGGGGCGCGGCCGAAGGUGGGUUCGAUAAUUGGGGUGAAGUCGUAACAAGGUAAC
rnacentral:rRNA from 1 species